rnacentral:rRNA from 1 species
UACGAAGGGUGCAAGCGUUAAUCGGAAUUACUGGGCGUAAAGGGUGCGUAGGCGGUUGUUUAAGUCUGUCGUGAAAUCCCCGGGCUCAACCUGGGAAUGGCGAUGGAUACUGGACAGCUAGAGUGUGUCAGAGGAUGGUGGAAUUCCGGUGUAGCGGUGAAAAUGCGUAGAGAUCGGGAGGAACAUCAGUGGCGAAGGCGGCCAUCUGG